rnacentral:lncRNA from 1 species
GAACAAGUGAAGGGAAAGCAAUCUGCUAUACAUCCCCAAGGAGGACGGCAGUAUUUACUCCAGAUGAAGAUGCUAGAAAUCAGAAAAGAGGAAGAACUGAAGAGACGUCUGCGCGAAGAGGCCCGGAUUCAUAAGCUCCAAACAAGGGAUCUUGACAGGAGAGGAACACUGGGGUUCGUGCGGAGAAAUAACAGCUCGGAUGAUGAAGACCUGCUUAGCCAGACCUUUAAAAGAAACCAAGGCGAUCGUUGGAGUGGAGAACUUUUUAAAUUGCCUGGACCAUCCGAGGCCCAAAUCAGCCAGAGGGGGAAAGUGGAAGCGUGGCUGUGGAACCAGCAGGCAAAAAGAGAGUCGUUCUCAGAUACGUCGAGCAGUGACUCCAACAACUGGAAUCAUCCUUGCCGCAGACCUGCCUUAGUGAGGACUAAAACGCAAAGGAUCGCUCUAUUUGAUGAGUUUUUUGAUAAAGAGUUCUGAUUGGAAGGUGUGGUGCAGAAACUUGGCCUGCAAACAAUUGGUGAGACUUGUAUGAAUUAGAAGGGUGGGGAACACCAUCACAAACCAACCUUUACAACUGUUCUUGCCAUGGAUUUAAAGAGUCUUGGGGGUUCCGCCAAGUAGGAAUAAACAAUCUAAACACUCUGGGCAGAUAGUCAUUCUGCCUCUGCUGAAAAACCUACAGAGAAGGAGACUCCAUCGGACUCCCAGGCAGCAUAUUCCAUUGCCAAAAAGGUUAAGACCUUCUUUUCUCCAGGUUGUUGUUGUUGUUUAUUCAUUCAGUUGCUUCCGACUCGUGACCUCAUGGACCAGCCCACGGCAGAUCUUCCUGUCGGCUGUCUCCGCCACUCCCAGUUCCUUCAAGGUCAAGCCAGUCUCUUCAAGGAUACCAUCCAUCCAUCUCGCCCUUGGUCAGCCUCUCUUCCUUUUUCCUUCCAUUUUCCCCAUCAUUCCCCAGUGUCCAGAGGAGGGCAACUAAAAUGAUCAAAGGUCUGAAGAACAAUCCCUAUGAGGAGCGGCUUAAAGAACUGGGCAUGUUUAGCCUGCAGAAGAGAAGGCUGAGAGGAGACAUGAUAGCCAUGUACUAAUACGUGAAGGGAAGUCAUAGGGAGGAGGGAGCAAGCUUGUUUUCAAGCUUGGCUUCAAACUACAGGAAAGGAGAUUCCACCUGAACAUUAGGAAGAACUUCCCGACUGUGAGAGCUGUUCGGCAGUGGAACUCUCUGUCCCGGACUGUGGAGGAGGCUCCUUCUUUGGAGGCUUUUAAGCAGAGGCUGGAUAGCCAU